rnacentral:rRNA from 1 species
UACGGGGGAGCAAGCGUUGUUCGGAUUUACUGGGCGUAAAGGGCGCGUAGGCGGCCACCGCAAGUCGACUGUGAAAUCUCCGGGCUUAACCCGGAAAGGUCAGCCGAUACUGCGGGGCUAGAGUGCAGAAGGGGCAACUGGAAUUCUCGGUGUAGCGGUGAAAUGCGCAGAUAUCAGGAGGAACACCGGUGGCGAAGGCGGGUCUCUGGGCCGAUACUGACGCUGAGGAGCGAAAGCGUGGGGAGCGA